GAGCUGCACAGACAGUCAUUGCUUUUGAAGCAGGCUUUAAGACACACCUCUAAAGACCGUCUUUGUAGGGGUUCCCCUCCAAGUCAGUAGGACAUCGGCGGCAUGUUUACUUGGCUGCACGCAUGUGUGCGCUCGCAUUAGGAGAAUGGCAUCGUGGGAUAGCACACAUUGUGGUGACAGUUAUGGAAGACAAAGGAGCCAAUGACAGCACAAACAAACAAAC